CAUCAUCAGUUUCCUAUACAAUGAUCAAACAUAUGGCAGCAGCUCAGACAGAAGACACCUAACGGGGCAUGUCAGAGUCAGUCCAUGGAAGAAUGUUUGAGCUCUGUAGUGAUUUUUAUCUUCAUGAGCCAGCUUGUAAUGUUGCUGCCAUUUCUCUGCAUGGGACAUAGUAGAAAGUGACAGGAGCUGAAGUUACUUCACCAGGAUCCCAGAGCAGGCAAGCAGUGGAACCAGAAUUCAAGUUCCGGCUGGCUCGCAUCGAGUACUAAGCAUAAGUCUUAAUCCUGUGCUCUACUGCACCUCUGGUCUUGAGGGAUAAAAAGAGAACUGAACUUUCAGAUUUGUUGCUAAUUGCAAGAAAUUAUUUCAAUGGAUCCGGCCGUAAUUGAACACCAGGCUCUUCAACAAGACAUGUUCCAAGCAUUCAUGGCACAAUUGCCUUUCUUUCCUGUUCACUAGACUUUAUUCAUAUAAUCAAAGAUUAUUCAUCAUGCUAAGUGCGAGCAGCAUGGGCACUAGUUUAGGAUAAAAGGAUUUUAAAGACUUAUGCCUUUUCUUUUUUCUCUGUUCCUUCUCUUACAGAAAAACCAUAAUUUAUCACAAGGACACUGCUGAGCAAUUUAUAACUUCUCCUGUGCUGAGCAGGAAGAUAUACUCAAUGGCAACUUUUAAUCAAAUGAUUUAUUUAUAUAUUCGUUCAAUUAGCUAAGUACAUAGAUCCUCUAAAGCGGUGUUUCUUGGCCUUUAUUUGAAUUAUGCAUCAUCGGUCAAGAUUUCCCUGAGCUCCGCAUUCUGCAGUUUACAUAAGGAGAAUAGCCAUAAUUUUUCCAGCUAUAAAAUGAUAAUCUAAUAUUGCAUAUGGUCGUUAACAUGUAUAUUUGUCACUCUACCCUGCUCCAUCCUAGAAUUUCCACUCUCUUCUUUUAUCCUCUCCUCUCUUUAAGAAUCCCUAUUGGAACACUAGAACAUUCCUUUGAGGUGACAUGGUUCCCGUAGCUCUUUCUCCACCUCUCAGGACCAGAUUCUCAGUCUUCCCUCAACUCUGCCCUCUGUACCUGUUCCCCAUGUGAUGACUCUCUUUAAAGUCCUCCAGCAUUUAAACAUUUUGCUCAAAAAAAUAGAGCUCGUAGUUCCAUAAUUUUAUUCUGUCCGUUGGUGGGUAGCAUUGGAAAGAAAAAAAAAAAA